rfam:Hordeum vulgare subsp. vulgare, WGS project CAJW01000000 data, contig: morex_contig_8020
ACGGUACUCCCUCCGUCCGGAAAUACUUGUCACAUGAAUAGAUGUAUCUAGAUGUAUUUUAGUUCUAUAUAUAUUCAUUUUUAUACAUUUAUACGACAAGUAAUUCCGGACGGAAGGAGUAGUAU